CGGAGUGUAGCUCAGCCUGGUUAGAGUACUGUGUUCGGAACGCAGGGGCCGGAGGUUCGAAUCCUCUCACUCCGA
rfam:Acidocella sp. MX-AZ02 genomic scaffold Contig1, whole genome shotgun sequence.